AAAAAAUGGUGGGACUGUAGCUAGUGGUUCAAGCCCCAGCACUGCCAGGCUCUGGAUUACUGAUCGGAAGGUCAGGGGUUCAAGCCUCAGCACUGCCAAGCUGCCACUUUUGGGCCCUUAACCCUCUCUGCUCCGGGGUGCUGUAUCAUGGCUGACCCUGCGCUGCCCAACUUCUUAACACGCAAAGAAAAGCACUUCACUGUGCUGUAAUGUAUAUGUGACCAACAAAGACUCAUUAUCCAGAGCCAAUCCCGGUAACACUGGUUGCAAGGUGUGGAAAAUUUAGCCCUGACAGCACACCAGUCCAUCACAAGGCUACAUAUUAGUGAUAUUUCUGUGUUUUGUUUUGCAUUCGUAUUCACACUGCCCUCUUCUCUGGCCUCGAAGUGACUAUUCAGGGCCCCUAGAUGGAGGCAGCCUUCAAAAGAUGGUGAGAAGCCUCACAGAGACUGCAUUGCACAGUGCGUAAAAAUUUGUGGAACACCCUUGUUGGCAGUGGCAAUGGAGAGAUUAAUUUUAGUCUUAUAAUUUUCUGAUCAUUUUAGUUCUAUAUAAUGUUCUCAUUGUAAUAUAAUGUUUUUGACAGUAAAAUGAUGGUUACAUUAUUUGUCUGUUAUUUUGAGGGUUGCAAACUACUGAAAGGAUCUUUUAUUUAGUACACUAAGACCCCACCCACUGAGGAGCCACCAGGUUUAUGAUUGGUCAACAGCUUUUUGUGUUAAAGUGCAACGGUUUAGGGAAGAUGAUCAGUCACUCUGCAUUCUAACCAGCUGUAUGAGCAUGGAGCAUGGAGCUGCUUGUCGUGCCAAAUGUCGAUCCUACAAGUAACUCCAUGUCCAUGAGCUUUGACCAGACAUUGGAAGAACGCCUACGAGAUGACCUGCGAUAUUACUUCAUGAGUCCCUGUCAGAAAUACAGAGCACGGCGACAGCUACCAUGGAAGUUGACAGUACAGAUUUUAAAAAUAGCCAUGAUUACAACUCAGCUUAUUCUCUUCGGGCUUAACAACCAGCUCGUAGUGACCUACAAAGAAGAGAACUUGAUGGCCUUCAAGACUUUGUUCCUGAAGAGCUACAGUGGUGUGGAAGAGGAUGACUAUAGUGUAGCUGUCUAUACUAAACAGAGUGUCUUUGACCAUCUAUACUACAUCAUAGAUCAGUACUCUCAGUUAGACCAGCUGUCUGUGGGCUCUGUCAGCUAUGCCGAGGAGGAUGGAAAUCUACUUCCUUUGGUCAUCUGUAAAGAGUACUACAGACCGGGUAGCGGGAAGCAUUCUGAAGGAACCUACAAUAUAGAUGCCCAAACUGAGUCAGCUUGCUUAACUUUGGAUCCCAGAUCUGCUGCAACAUGCACUACUAGAAAUGCCUCUUUUUUUGAGAUUGACUUUUGCAGACUUGUCACUAUUGAAAUCUCAUUCCGGCUUAAUGGAAUCAACCUACAAACUGUCCUUUCACAUGAGUUACCUGAUUGUUACACUUUUGCUGUUUUGGUUACAUUUGACAAUCGGUGCCAUAGUGGAAAAGUGAAAAUUACCCUUGGUAUCGAUGCUGUUAGCAGUGCAUGCAAAAACUGGAAGAUUUCAGGAACUGCUCAGAAGAACACUCACUAUCUUCUCAUUUUUGAUGCUGUUGUUAUCCUAGUGUGUCUGGUCUCUUCUGUGCUUUGCAUUCGCUCUAUAUUUCUUGCAAUUAGAUUACUUCAGAGAUUUUCCAAGUUCUGUGUUUGGAAGUACAAUAAUAAAGUAUGUGAGGAUGACCAACGAGAGUUUUUAAAUGGCUGGUACAUCUUGGUAAUUAUCAGUGAUGUUAUGGCAAUCAUAGGGUCAAUACUGAAGAUGGAAAUUCAGGCAAAGAGCCUGACAAACUAUGAUGUGUGUAGCAUCUUUUUAGGAACAUCCACACUCAUGGUCUGGGUUGGGGUCAUCAGAUAUUUAGGUUACUUCCAGAAGUAUAAUGUUCUUAUCCUUACUAUGCAGGCAGCCCUACCCAAAGUUCUCCGCUUCUGCUGCUGUGCAGGAAUGAUUUAUCUGGGCUACACUUUCUGUGGGUGGAUCGUUUUAGGGCCCUACCAUGAAAAGUUUGAGGGUCUGAGCCGCGUGGCCGAAUGCCUCUUCUCCCUGGUGAACGGGGACGACAUGUUCCCGACGUUUGCUGAGUUCCCGCAAAAGAACAUCAUGGUGUGGCUGUUCAGCAGGGUCUACCUCUACUCUUUCAUCUCCCUCUUCAUCUACAUGGUGCUCAGCCUUUUCAUAGCUCUCAUCACAGAUGCUUACGAGAGCAUCAAGCGCUACCAGAAAAACGGGUUUCCCAUGACAGAGCUGCAGCUGUUCCUGAGUGUGAAGAAAGAGGUCCCAGAGGGGGAGGAUGUAGAAAAUGGAGAGGAAGGCAGCACCCAUAGUGUCUCCUCCUUCACUAUGCUGUGUGGCUGCAAAAGAGUUUCCAAAGACGAUUGCACCGUUCUCAUCAGCUGAUAGAGAACAACCAAAUGAUCUCAGGCAAGGCUGACUUCAGUGGAAAAAUCUGUGAUUACAGACUCUUGUGCAUUUCAAAAUGCUUCCAUUAUACUGUGUAUAAUGUGUACCAUCUACCCUAUAGUUUACAUGUAAAUCCGGGAUGGGAACAUAACGUGCGUUAGCCAAAUGAAGAAGACGAUCAGUAACAUCCAUGAAGAGGACUAGAAUAUAAUUAAGGCUCAGGAGUAAAAAAGAUUUACCGGGAAAUUCAUGUUACGAAGAAGCGCAACGUUACCCCUGCCGUAUGUUAUAAAUGCAUGAAAGGGGACUAUUUUCAGUUUGCUCAUUAAUAGAAGUAAACUGCUAAAUCUAUUUAAAGGAAAUAGCUCCAAUGCAUGAACUAUUACCCAGAGGUUAGAUAUUGUUAAGAAAAUUCAGCAAAUGGAUUGUAUUCAGCAAGUUUAAUGAUUGUACCUUGAAGAAGCUUAUAAACUCUGGAAAAAAUGAGAGUCUGGAUGUUUAAUAUGAUGUAACCCUCCCUCUUUUAUUCAUCUGUUUAUAUCAAAGGAAACAUAAUUGAUGUGUGCCCCUCUUCUUGUUACUUAACUAAGUCAAUAUAAAGAAAGGUGAGAAAUCAAAAGCUAUAAUACACUCUUAUAAAAGAGGAUGUUUCCUGAGGAUGUUUCACUGGGUGUACAGUAUCACUCCACUCAUCUGUGUUCGCCACAUAAUAUUUCACUUCCUAAUUUGAAACCGUUACUACAGUUGUGCUAGUGACAUCAUCAGAGGACGAAGCAAACGAUACUUUUCAGGAAUAUACUGCAACUUCUGACUUCAAAUAUGAAAGCUCAUCAGAUGAAGCAAAUUUCACUAGAAGCACCUUUAACGGGAACGUACAAAUCGAUGUGAGCUAGAUAAAGAGCUAGCCGAUGUGCUAUAAAGGUUUCUGUGGAUCUGAAGCCUAUAGCGGGAACACCGGAUGCAACAGAGGAAUACAUCCUGCAUGUACAUUCAUACCGAGAGGCGCUUAGACGAAACUGAAGAACCUGAAGGAAACCCCACAUAGAUAAGGGGUGAACAUCCACACCCAACAUCCAAACUCCACACAGACAGUAACCUGAGUACAGGAUUGACCCGGGGCCCAUGGAGCUGUAAGGUGGCAACACUAACCGCUGUAACACCAUAUAGGCCCUUACUCAGACAUCUGUGAUUAGAGAUUAUACAAAUUGGCAAAUUAUACUGUAAGGCAGCAUAUUUAAAAAAAAAUGCUAUUUUAAUUAUAUAUUCCUCUUAUACCACAGAUAUUUGCCAACGAUUACUAUUUUUCAUUUAUUAAUGAAUGACACAUCUUGCUUUUUUAACUGUACAAGGUUACAUUUAAUGUUAUGGAAAGUCCAAGAGACUCAAGUCUUCAGGACAGAGGAGUUUGCGCUUUCCGGUUUCUCAGUAAUAUGACAAGCAACUUGUUUUGUCUCAUUAACAUUGAGAGCUGAAACAGAGAGGCUGGUAAGGGAAAGACUAUACAUAACUGCUAUAACAUAAGUCUAUGUGGAGUGUUUUUGGGCUGAGUUUAAUGUUUUGUUGUUUUUUUGUUUUUUUUUUUUAAAUACAGAUUUGGAAACGCUAGCUCAUCCACCCAAAGACCAAAGACUUGAUACAAUUUUCCAAUUUCAGCAUCUUUGUGAAAGCCACAAUAUGUUAAGGAUCUCUCUGUCCUGAAAGAAGAUAAAACAUUAGUUGUGAAAUGUCCUUAGCAGUCAUUAUGCCCAUAUUUUUAACAUCCAGUGAGAAUUUGCUACCGUCGGCACAAUUUAUACAGAUUGUAUCAGCUUCAAGGUCCCUUCCAAAUUCCCCCACACAGCAAGAAUGCAAACGUUGAAAGGAACUGCAUUUUGUUUUGACUGGGUGGUAGUGUGGGGAUGAGAGAGUGCAAUUAUAAAUAUAAGGAUUGUUAUUACUUUUUAAAUAUGGCGUUUAUUGCAUUUAUAAAAUAUGUGUUUUGAAAUCGAAGUAUAUCUUGCAUUAUGCGUACACACAGAGACAGGAAAUGCAGUCACUAAUACGUACUGUUUGAAUUUUUCUAAUUAGCAUUUGAAUUUGAACAAAGUCUGGAAUUUGCUGCCAUAUUUCAUAGGACCUUAAUCUUAUCACAAACGCACAAAUGAACAGUGCAGCAUGUUUGAGAAUCAUAUCACGACUGUGUGAAUGAAUGAUGUAGCUGGUGACUUCGGCUGUGGAGGAAGGCAAAACAAUCUAUUCAGGACUUUUUGGCAAAACAUUUUCACUUCAUUAUAUACUAAAAACCAGGUGCUUUUUCUGAGGACGUUUUCACUUCCUAUUCAAAACUGCAUUUACAAGUGAAAGUUGUAUAUUAUUGCAGGCGAAUAAAGCAAAUCAAGAAGGCCUUUAUAUUCAGCGCCAGAAUUAUUGGCACCAUAUUAGGCAUAAGAUGGGUUAAAAAAAAAGAUGUUAGGAACAAAUGUCUUUGUGAAAAAAUAAUGCAAGUGUGACUUUAAUUGAAGGUUGAUUUAAGUGAUUUAAUUGGAAUCUGCUGUAUUACAAAAUGAUUCCAUUAUACUGUGUAUACUGUAUAACAUCUACACCAUCGUUUACAUGUGUAUCAGGGAUGGGAAUAUAACUCACAUUAGCCAAAGGAAGAAGAUGAUCAGUAAUAUCCAUCCAUACAGAGGAUUACAAUAUAAUUAAGACUCAGGAGUAAAAAGGUUUGCUGGAUCGGAUAUCAAGUAAAUAUGAAGAAUAUAUGAAAUUCAUCUUAAUAACAGCCACAGUAUUAUCCCUACCAUAUGUUACAAUUACAGGAAAGGCAAUAUUUUAAUUUUCGUUAAGGGAAAUGCAUUAAGGCUGCAAAAUAUGUAGUGAGAGUAUGGCUCUGGAGCCAUAGAGGAAAAAGUGUUUGCAAACAGUGUACUAAAAUGACCUAUUCACAUGUCCUUGAAAAACAGCCUUUUCACUUCUUCAAUUAGCAAAAAAUAAAAAUAAAAACCCAGAUGUUUAUCCGGUG